GCUCCGGUAGUAUAGCUCGGCCAAGUAUUCCGGCCUUUCGAGCCGGAGACCCGGGUUCAAAUCCCGGCCGGAGCACCA
rnacentral:tRNA from 1 species